AUGGGGGUGGGGGAGGGGGGAGGGGCAUGGCAGUAUCACAGAGAAGACGCUGUCCUCACGGGGAGGGCACAGAAACUUCCUGUCACUCAGCUCCCUGUCACAAAGUACAGAGUGAAAAGGAAAAACGUCUCAGCACAACCUGAAAAUACCCUUUCUCGGUACGGAAAGGACCAAGUACAGAAGUCCCAGCACAUCUCUGCUGCUCACAUCUUCCAAGGAGCCACUGUGUUGUCUUCCUCCCGGAAGGUGAGGAUGAUAUGCCCUGAGCUGGCCCAUUUCUGGAAGUCAAACAUGGAGGGAAUGACCUGCAGAGAGGCCUCCAGGAACCUGUCUGUACCAUAAGAAAAGAGUUCUUCACUGCUCCACUGCUGGUGGGAGUGCAGACUGGUGCAACCACCGUGGAAAUCAGUAUGGAGAUACCUCAAAGAACUAGGACUGGAAGUCCCAUUGGACCCAGCUAUUCCCCUGCUGGGGAUCUUCCCCAAAGAAUUAAAAGAAUCAUGCCACAGUGAUAUAUGUGCACCCACGUUCAUAGCAGUGCAGUUUGUAAUAGCUAAAGCUUGGAUGCAGCCCAAGUGCCCAUCAACUGGAGACUGGAUAAAGAAAAUGUGGUUUUUUAAUAAAACAGAGUACUCAGGCAUAAAAAAAUGAAAAAUUAGGGACAUUUAUAGCUAAAUAGAUGCACAUUGAGGCAAUACUCUUAAGUGAAAUAAAUAGGACACACGUGUGUAAAUACCGAAUAGUUUCUCUAGUGUGAGAAACUGAAAGUGUAAAUAAAGACUAAAAGGUAUAAUAGAUAAUGUGAGAUAGGAAGAAAAGGGGCAAAGGGGAAGGGGAAGUGGGAGGGGUAGGGGAAAAGAAAGAAGGGAAUGGAAUUAAUAUGAGAAAAUGAAAAAAUGGAAACAAAGUCUUUGUAAAAAGGGAGAGAUGGAGGGGUUGAAGGGAGGGCAGGGGAAGGGGAAAAAAUAAGAACCAAGAGAGAUUGUGUAAAGGUGCAAAUUUCCAAUGAUGAAUGUCAUUAUAUUGUAUACCUAAAAUGUACCAAUAAAAUAAAAUUUAAAAAAAGAACAGAGUUGUGUCAGCAUGGUGGCACAUGCCUGUUAUACCUGUGUACAGGUGGCUGAGCAGGAGGAUCACAAGUUUAAGCCCUGCCUGAGUAGACAACAAGUUCUAGGCCACCCUAGAUUACAUAGCAAGGCCCUGUCUCAAAAAGACAAAAAAGGGGAAGGGAAAAGAAUAGAGACCCCUUGCUCUUGGGCACUGAGCCCUAAGUCAGGGCAGGCACAGGACUCACACUGCCGACAACCCUUCUACGACACACAGAAUCACGGAGACCCCCUCCCUGCCUGAAGCCUGCCCCACUCCCAGACUUUAUCACUGAGGUCCAGCAAAAUGGUCUUCUUUUUUUUCAUAAGCCAGUUGAAAAGGAAUUCCUUUUCUCUAGGAAUGAAAGUGAAGAUAUUUCAUUCAUUACACUUUCACUGGGGCUACAAAGCCCUCCCUGGACUGAGAAAGUUAGGAAGGGGGUGAAACGCAGGAGGUCGCCACCCCUUGUGCUGCAGGAGCCCAGACACUCAGAGGCCCUGCCUGAGUGAAGAGCACAUCCAAGCUCCUCCAACUCUGGCAGCCAAGCCAAUCAGCACUGCCCUUCGGACACCGCAGGGUCUCACACACGGCCUGGAUGUGGAGGAAAAAGGGUAUCCACACCCACACUUGGAAGCUGAAGUACGGUAUGUAAUAUACUCCUUUCUUUUAAUGUUAUGAGAAAAAUAAAACAAAAUUCCAU
rnacentral:lncRNA from 1 species